rnacentral:rRNA from 1 species
UACGUAGGUGGCAAGCGUUAUCCGGAUUUAUUGGGCGUAAAGGGAACGCAGGCGGUCUUUUAAGUCUGAUGUGAAAGCCUUCGGCUUAACCGGAGUAGUGCAUUGGAAACUGGGAGACUUGAGUGCAGAAGAGGAGAGUGGAACUCCUAGUGUAGCGGUGAAAUGCGUAGAGAUUAGGAAGAACACCAGUGGCGAAGGCGAUUCUCUGGACUGUAACUGACGCUGAGGCUCGAAAGCGUGGGGAGCAAACAGG